AUUGAACGCUGGCGGCAUGCCUAACACAUGCAAGUCGAACGGCAGCACUAUCUAGCUUGCUAGAGAGGUGGCGAGUGGCGCACGGGUGAGUAACGCGUAGGAAUAUACCUUAAAGAGGGGGAUUACUUGGGGAAACUCAAGCUAAUACCGCAUAAACUCUGAGGAGAGAAGCUGGGGACCGCAAGGCCUGGCGCUUUAAGAUUAGCCUGCGUCCGAUUAGCUAGUUGGUGGGGUAAGGGCUUACCAAGGCGACGAUCGGUAGCUGGUCUGAGAGGAUGAUCAGCCACACUGGGACGGAGACACGGCCCAGACGCCGACGGGAGGCAGCAGUGGGGAAUAUUGGACAAUGGGGGGAACCCUGAUUCAGCAAUGCCGCGUGUGUGAAGAAGGCCUGAGGGUUGUAAAGCACUUUCAGUGGGGAGGAGGAUUGACUGGUUAAGAGCUGGUUAAUUGGACGUUACCCACAGAAGAAGCACCGGCUAACUCCGUGCCAGCCGCCGCCGUAA
rnacentral:rRNA from 1 species